rnacentral:rRNA from 1 species
GUUGAACGCUGGCGGCGUGCCUAAUACAUGCAAGUCGAGCGAACGGACGAGAAGCUUGCUUCUCUGAUGUUAGCGGCGGACGGGUGAGUAACACGUGGAUAACCUACCUAUAAGACUGGGAUAACUUCGGGAAACCGGAGCUAAUACCGGAUAAUAUUUUGAACCGCAUGGUUCAAAAGUGAAAGACGGUCUUGCUGUCACUUAUAGAUGGAUCCGCGCUGCAUUAGCUAGUUGGUAAGGUAACGGCUUACCAAGGCAACGAUGCAUAGCCGACCUGAGAGGGUGAUCGGCCACACUGGAACUGAGACACGGUCCAGACUCCUACGGGAGGCAGCAGUAGGGAAUCUUCCGCAAUGGGCGAAAGCCUGACGGAGCAACGCCGCGUGAGUGAUGAAGGUCUUCGGAUCGUAAAACUCUGUUAUUAGGGAAGAACAGAUGUGUAAGUAACUGUGCACAUCUUGACGGUACCUAAUCAGAAAGCCACGGCUAACUACGUG